rnacentral:lncRNA from 1 species
UCCAUGCCGCUAGGUUAAUAAUAACUGUUAUGACUAAUUAAGGAAGAGACCUAAAUCAAAUCUCCCUAAUAGAAUAUUAAGUAUAGUGAUAUUCCACCAUUGUAGUUGUGCAGGCCCUUUCUAGAGUUGGUUAUUCUCGACUAGAUCAGUGGUUCAGUUGCACCAAGAAGACGUAACCAUAUUAUUAGGCAUUAGAUAUUGUGGGGCGA